rnacentral:rRNA from 1 species
AUUGAACGCUGGCGGCAUGCCUUACACAUGCAAGUCGAACGGCAGCACGGGAGCAAUCCUGGUGGCGAGUGGCGAACGGGUGAGUAAUAUAUCGGAACGUGCCCAGUCGUGGGGGAUAACGUAGCGAAAGCUACGCUAAUACCGCAUACGAUCUACGGAUGAAAGCGGGGGAUCGCAAGACCUCGCGCGAUUGGAGCGGCCGAUAUCAGAUUAGCUAGUUGGUGAGGUAAAGGCUCACCAAGGCGACGAUCUGUAGCUGGUCUGAGAGGACGACAAGACACGCUGGAACUGAGACACGGUCCAGACUCCUACGGGAGGCAGCAGUGGGGAAUUUUGGACAAUGGGCGCAAGCCUGAUCCAGCAAUGCCGCGUGCAGGAUGAAGGCCUUCGGGUUGUAAACUGCUUUUGUACAGAACGAAACGGUCCUUUCUAAUACAAGGGGCUAAUGACGGUACUGUAAGAAUAAGCACCGGCUAACUACGUGCCAGCAGCCGCCGUAA